CCUUUUUCAUUAUUUAAGUUUGCAAGAAAAUCACACAAACUGACCAAUUCUUGCUGUCACAACACCAGGGCUAAAGUUUCACCAACAAAGAAGAUUAGGAAGCUAGAGGUACAAAACUAUCAAACAAAGACAUGCUUUGUUUACCCAUGUUGCGGGACAUCAUCCACUAUAGGAUUGCAGAAGACCUAAAUAAAGCAAAAUAAAACAUUUAGAAAACCAAUAAAAAGAAUUAUUCAUUCCCAAUAUAUAUAAAACCCAAAGAAACCUCUUUUGCACAAUCUCUAGAAUCAAGAAGAAAUCCAAUAUGCCUAAGUAAUGUACAAUAUGUUUGCCAACAGUAAACUGAAACUAAACUGAAUAGUAGAUGCACAAAUACCCUUGAAAAAGGGCCUCUUUCGACCACUUCAUCUGACACGAACACUGUAGACCACAAACCCUAUAAACAAUUUCUAGCACUGUGAAAGCAAUACACCAGCAGAAACGCAGUGGUGGAUUUAACCAACCUUUACUGGCACUAUGAAAGCAAUACGCUUGUUAUUAAAACUCAUAUAUUGUACUAAAUGGAAAAGGUCUAUUUUCUAAAUUAUACAAUACAUUAGCAGAGAGAAAAUAAUAAACUGAAACCUUUAUCUAUAAAUAAAUGCAGUAUAUAUAAAAGAAAUAUGAUAACAUAAAAAAUAUCCUAAAGUAACAAUGACAAAAACACUAACCAUGCCGAAUGUGAAUUCUCUACAAACUACAAGUCUUUUCUAUUAGCGAUAUGUUUUUGAAAAAUAGAUUCCUAUACAACUCCUGUCCUCUACAAUCCAAAAGGAUUCCCAUGAAAAAAAAAAUCUAGUGGAAAUGAUGGAUUGAAAUUAAGUUUUAUAUAUCUAGGCCUUAUUUAUCUCAGUCUAAUUCAAAUAAGGAGAUUGUGGUCAUAUAUUAAUAGGAUUCUAUACAUCUUUAAUUAUAUAGAGAAAAAGAGUGAUACUUACAUUUUCGAUCAUUUGAUCAAAAACAGGCAGAGCAGGGACCAACGACGGGGAGAUAUUUUUGAAAAGAUUCUAUUUAAGCAUCCUAUUAUAUAUAGUUUUGUCAGUAUUGAGCCUUGUGUGAGCCUAUUACGUAUAGUUUUGUCACUCCAAUUCUUCUUACUAUUCAAGUAUAUAAAGAUUGAUUAUAUUUAAAAUCUAUUUAUUUUAGUCAAUUACUUGAUUCAAACUCAUUAGAACAACAAAAUCAGCCAAUGUUUGCUGCGAAGUCAAAUACCUCAAGGUUUUAGCUGAUUUGUAGGAGUCUUUACCGAAUGAUUGAUUUCCCAUAAAACAUGUUCUGCAAAUUCAUAUACAAACAGAACCCAUAUGAUUAAGUAAAACAGAAUUGCUACCUCAAUCAAGUAAAACUUUGAGAUUCUGUUUUUCAGAAAAUUAAAAAACAAAUGUAAAUUUUUAGUUAGUUUUCCUAUCAUCCUUCUGAACUCUAGCAACUUUUCUCAAUUACUUAAAAAUAAAUCAAAUCUAUCUACUUCACCAUUCAAAAUUCAACUGCACUUUAGAUCUUACAAUCCAAAAACGACAUUGAGCAUAAAUACAAUACACAUCUAUAAAUAUAAAACCAAAAAAUCAAUAUAACAGUAAUAAGCAUUAAAUAAAUGAAUAAUUAACAAAAUUCCAAAAAAUUGUAGUUCAUAUUACCUUAAUAAUGAGUUAUAUCAUUCAACAAUCGAAGAU
rnacentral:lncRNA from 1 species